ACGCAAAGUACAUGUGAGCCUAGGUCACACUAUCGUCCAUAUCGAGGAAAAUCAGAACGAAAACUGCCGCAACGAAAAUUUUGAAC